rnacentral:rRNA from 1 species
CCUACGGGAGGCAGCAGUGGGGAAUAUUGCACAAUGGGGGAAACCCUGAUGCAGCAACGCCGCGUGAGUGAAGAAGUAUUUCGGUAUGUAAAGCUCUAUCAGCAGGGAAGAGAAUGACGGUACCUGACUAAGAAGCGCCGGCGAACUACGUGCCAGCAUCCGCGGUAAUACGGAGGGGGCGAGCGUUAUCCGGAUUUACUGGGGGUAAAGGGAGCGUUGACGGGUCUGCAAGUCUGAAGUGAAAGACCGUGGCUUAACCGCGGAACGGCGUUGGAAACUGUGGUACUGGAGUGGUGGAGAGGCAAGCGGAAUGCGUGGUGUAGCGGUGAAAUGCGUAGAUAUCAGGCAGAACUCCAGUGGCGAAGGCAGCAUGCUGGACAGUAACUGACGCUGAGGCUCGAAAGCGUGGGGAGCGAACAGGAUUAGAUACCCGGGUAGUC